AAUAUCUGUCAAUGGGGGCAACCCUGAUCCAGCCAUGCCGCGUGUGUGAAGAAGGUCUUCGUAUUGUAAAGCACUUUAAGUUGGGAGGAAGGGCUUGAGGUUAUUACCCUGAAGUCUUGACGUUACCAACAGUAUAAGCACCGGCUAACCCUGUGCCAGCAGCCGCGGUAAUACAGAGGGUGCAAGCGUUAAUCGGAAUUACUGGGCGUAAAGCGCGCGUAGGUGGUUCGGUAAGAUGGGUGUGAAAUCCCCGGGCUUAACCUGGGAACUGCUUUCAUAACUGCUGGGCUAGAGUACGGUAGAGGGUAGUGGAAUUUCCUGUGUAGCGGUGAAAUGCGUAGAUAUAGGAAGGAACACCAGUGGCGAAGGCGACUACCUGGACUGAUACUGACACUGAGGUGCGAAAGCGUGGGGAGCAAAC
rnacentral:rRNA from 1 species